rnacentral:rRNA from 1 species
UCGAGAAUCAUUCACAAUGGGGGAAACCCUGAUGGUGCAACGCCGCGUGGAGGAUGAAGGCCCUCGGGUCGUAAACUCCUGUCAUCAGAGAGUAAGCCUUGGUCGUUAAUAGCUUCCAAGGUUGAUAGUAUCUGAAGAGGAAGGGACGGCUAACUUCGUGCCAGCAGCCACGGUAAUACGAAGGUCCCAAGCGUUGUUCGGAAUCACUGGGCGUAAAGAGUUCGUAGGCGGCGCGGAAAGUCAGAUGUGAAAGCCCGGGGCUCAACCUCGGAACUGCAUCCGAUGCUCCCGCGCUAGAGUAAUGGAGGGGUGACUGGAAUUCUCGGUGUAGCAGUGAAAUGCGUGGAUAUCGAGAGGAACACUUGUGGCGAAGGCGAGUUACUGGACAUUUACUGACGCUGAGGAACGAAGGCUAGGGUAGCGAAAGGGAUUAGAUACCCCCGUAGUCC